rnacentral:rRNA from 1 species
CUACCAUGGCGAUCACGGGUAACGGGGAAUUAGGGUUCGAUUCCGGAGAGGGAGCCUGAGAAAUGGCUACCACAUCUAAGGAAGGCAGCAGGCGCGUAAAUUACCCAAUCCUAAUUCAGGGAGGUAGUGACAAGAAAUAACAACUCGGGCCCCACUUGGGGUUACGGGAUUGCAAUGAGAACAAUUUAAACCACUUAUCGAGUAACAAUUGGAGGGCAAGUCUGGUGCCAGCAGCCGCGGUAAUUCCAGCUCCAAUAGCGUAUAUUAAAGUUGUUGCAGUUAAAAAGCUCGUAGUUGAAUUUCUGGCCGGCGCUGUUCACGGCUCUCGCAGUCGGUUCAGGAGCCUGGUCAUCCGUAGGGGAAGCUAGCUCGUCCUUCAGUGGUCGGCUAGUGGAUCAUACACUUUACUUUGAAAAAAUUAGAGUGUUUCAGGCAGGCAAUUGCUUGGAUACUGCAGCAUGGAAUAAUGGAAUAGGACUUUGACCUAUUUGUUGGUUUCUUGAGGUCAAAGUAAUGAUUAAUAGGGACAGUUGGGGGCAUCCGUAUUUAAUUGUCAGAGGUGAAAUUCUUGGAUUUAUUAAAGACGAACUUAUGCGAAAGCAUUUGCCAAGGAUGUUUUCAUUAAUCAA